rnacentral:tRNA from 1 species
GUCGGCGGGCGGCAGGUGCGGCUCGAGCACGCCGCCGCGCAGGCGGCCCGCCUCGCCGCGCGCGAGGAGCCCGCCGAUCGGGUCCGCGCCGCCGCCACC